UAAUAAGUGUUUUAUGGCACUUUUUAAAUCCAUAUCCACCUUGUGUGCAAUGUCAGUCGAUCUUCUUUAUGGAGAUCGACCAAACAUCAACCUUUAUUUUUAACUCUUUGUCUGAAAAAUAUUAUGAAUAAACAAUUCAAAAUA
rnacentral:misc_RNA from 1 species